UACGGAGGGGGCAAGCGUUGUUCGGAAUUAUUGGGCGUAAAGCGUAUGUAGGCGGCCGGACAAGUCGGACGUGUAAUCCCUCGGCUUAACUGAGGAGUUGCGUUUGAAACUAUCCGGCUUGAGGACAGGAGAGGAGAGUGGAAUUCCCAGUGUAGCGGUGAAAUGCAUUGAUAUUGGGAAGAACACCAGUGGCGAAGGCGGCUUUCUGGCCUGUUUCUGACGCUGAGAUACGAAAGCCAGGGGAGCGAACGGG
rnacentral:rRNA from 1 species